rnacentral:tRNA from 1 species
GCACCCAUAGCUCAGCUGGAUAGAGCAAGUGCCUUCUAAGCACUAGGUCGCAGGUUCGACUCCUGCUGGGUGCGCCA